ACGAUAUGCUUUGGGGAGCUGUAAGUAAGCUUUGAUCCAGAGAUUUCCGAAUGGGGAAACCCAGCAUGAGUUAUGUCAUGUUAUCGAUAUGUGAAUACAUAGCAUAUCAGAAGGCACACCCGGAGAACUGAAACAUCUUAGUACCCGGAGGAAGAGAAAGAAAAUUCGAUUCCCUUAGUAGCGGCGAGCGAAACGGGAAGAGCCCAAACCAACAAGCUUGCUUGUUGGGGUUGUAGGACACUCUAUACGGAGUUACAAAGGACGACAUUAGACGAAUCAUCUGGAAAGAUGAAUCAAAGAAGGUAAUAAUCCUGUAGUCGAAAAUGUUGUCUCUCUUGAGUGGAUCCUGAGUACGACGGAGCACGUGAAAUUCCGUCGGAAUCUGGGAGGACCAUCUCCUAAGGCUAAAUACUCUCUAGUGACCGAUAGUGAACCAGUACCGUGAGGGAAAGGUGAAAAGCACCCCGGAAGGGGAGUGAAAUAGAACCUGAAACCGUGUGCUUACAAGUAGUCAGAGCCCGUUAAUGGGUGAUGGCGUGCCUUUUGUAGAAUGAACCGGCGAGUUACGAUUUGAUGCAAGGUUAAGCAGUAAAUGUGGAGCCGUAGCGAAAGCGAGUCUGAAUAGGGCGUUUAGUAUUUGGUCGUAGACCCGAAACCAGGUGAUCUACCCUUGGUCAGGUUGAAGUUCAGGUAACACUGAAUGGAGGACCGAACCGACUUACGUUGAAAAGUGAGCGGAUGAACUGAGGGUAGCGGAGAAAUUCCAAUCGAACCUGGAGAUAGCUGGUUCUCUCCGAAAUAGCUUUAGGGCUAGCCUCAAGUGAUGAUUAUUGGAGGUAGAGCACUGUUUGGACGAGGGGCCCCUCUCGGGUUACCGAAUUCAGACAAACUCCGAAUGCCAAUUAAUUUAACUUGGGAGUCAGAACAUGGGUGAUAAGGUCC
rnacentral:rRNA from 1 species